rnacentral:pre_miRNA from 1 species
UGACUCUCUUAAGGAAGCCAGGACUUUUUCUUAGGUCAGAGUCA